ACACGGUAAGGAUUGACGGACUGAAGGCUCUUUCUCGAUUCCGUGGAAAGUGGUGCAUGGCCGUUUUUGGUUGGUGGAUCGAUCCGUCUGGUUAAUUCCGUUAACGAACGAGACCUCGGCACUCCGAAUAGCGCGGCGGACGUCGCGGCCUCCGGGCCGUCUUCCGCACGAGCUUCUUAGAGGGACCGUCCCCCGCCGGGGGAAGGAGGUGCGAGGCAACGACAGGUCUGUGAUGCCCUUAGAUGUUCUGGGCCGCACGCGCAUUACACUGACGCGUCCAACGGGUGACUCCCGACCCGAAGGGGCCGGGGAAUCCGCAAGGCGCGUCGUGAUGGGGAUUGAACGUUGCAAUUGUUGUUCACGAACGAGGAAUUCCUAGUAGGCGCGGGUCAUCAACCCGCGCCGAUUACGUCCCUGCCCUUUGUACACACC
rnacentral:rRNA from 1 species